rnacentral:rRNA from 1 species
GAUGAACGCUGGCGGCGUGCUUAACACAUGCAAGUCGAACGGAAAGGCUCCUGCUUGCAGGGGUACUCGAGUGGCGAACGGGUGAGUAACACGUGGGUGAUCUGCCCUGCACUUCGGGAUAAGCCUGGGAAACUGGGUCUAAUACCGGAUAGGACCACAUUUUGGAUGGUGUGGUGGAAAGUUUUUCGGUGUGGGAUGAGCUCGCGGCCUAUCAGCUUGUUGGUGGGGUAAUGGCCACCAAGGCGUCGACGGGUAGCCGGCCUGAGAGGGUGUACGGCCACAUUGGGACUGAGAUACGGCCCAGACUCCUACGGGAGGCAGCAGUGGGGAAUAUUGCACAAUGGGCGCAAGCCUGAUGCAGCGACGCCGCGUGGGGGAUGACGGCCUUCGGGUUGUAAACUCCUUUCGCUAGGGACGAAGCGCAAGUGACGGUACCUGGAGAAGAAGCACCGGCUAACUACGUG